rnacentral:rRNA from 1 species
AUGGUUGGCAACCCUAUAACAGAUCCAAAGUUUGACGAAAAUUACAAAAUUCCAAGUGCUCAUGGCUUUGGGAUAAUAUCUGAUCAAAUAUAUGAGAGUGCGGUGAAGAAUUGCAAAGGAGAUUAUGUUAACCCCGUGAAUGAAAUGUGUGUUGAAGUGUUGCAUACUAUCAAUAAUCUCAUUUCUGAAAUUUCAGUUGAACACAUCUUGUACAAAAAAUGUGAUGUUGUUGCGCCAAAGACCAUAGACGGUGCUUCAAGAAGAAAGUUUUUGUUGGAAGAAUCUACACAGUUAAACAAGCCACAUGCCCGUCCAACUGUAGAUUGUUUUACAUAUGGUUACUAUCUGGCUUACUUUUGGAUGAACAACAACAUGACUAGAAAAGCUCUUGGGAUCAAGGAGUGGGAGGUGAAGGUGAGGGCGACCGGUUAA